CUGUGUGUACUAAGUGUUGGUUAUGUGGCGUAGCCAGAUUCCGGGAAAGAUCUGUAUAUUCUAGGCUGGGCUGCUUAUGUGGCAUAGCCAGAUUCCUGGGAAGAUCAGUGUAUUCUAUGUGUUGUAGCCAGAUUCCUGUGUAUUCUAAUUGCAUAUUUUGUGAUGCUGCUAGAAUCCAUGGUAACAGAUGCAGCUCUGGUGUUAGAGGAUACAUUUGAAGAAUAAACAAGGGGACAUCAGGUAUUAAAAUAUAAAGUAAUUCCCUCCUCACCAUGGAUAACUAAGGCAAAUGUUAAUUGUUCCUAAGUAAAAUGCUUAUAGGAAAUCAUGCCCUCAUUAGUACUAAUUUACCUUUAAAUUAGUCUUAAACACUAAACAAGCAUUUGAAAUAGUUUUUUUGUUGUUUUAAUUUCAAUUAAAAUUAACCAUAUGAUCUGGAUUUGACAUUCCAGUUUUCUUUCUGAUAUUGGCUACCAGCAUCAAAUCUAACUAAGAACCGUAUAAAGGGCUGUUUCUGUAAUGACAAUAAU